rnacentral:rRNA from 1 species
GUACCUGCGGAAGGAUCAUUACCGAGUGUAGGGUUCCUAGCGAGCCCAACCUCCCACCCGUGUUUACUGUACCUUAGUUGCUUCGGCGGGCCCGCCAUUCAUGGCCGCCGGGGGCUCUCAGCCCCGGGCCCGCGCCCGCCGGAGACACCACGAACUCUGUCUGAUCUAGUGAAGUCUGAGUUGAUUGUAUCGCAAUCAGUUAAAACUUUCAACAAUGGAUCUCUUGGUUCCGGCAUCGAUGAAGAACGCAGCGAAAUGCGAUAACUAGUGUGAAUUGCAGAAUUCCGUGAAUCAUCGAGUCUUUGAACGCACAUUGCGCCCCCUGGUAUUCCGGGGGGCAUGCCUGUCCGAGCGUCAUUGCUGCCCAUCAAGCACGGCUUGUGUGUUGGGUCGUCGUCCCCUCUCCGGGGGGGACGGGCCCCAAAGGCAGCGGCGGCACCGCGUCCGAUCCUCGAGCGUAUGGGGCUUUGUCACCCGCUCUGUAGGCCCGGCCGGCGCUUGCCGAACGCAAAUCAAUCUUUUCCAGGUUGACCUCGGAUCAGGUA